CUCCCCUGGCAAUGGGCAAAGAGACAUCUUGUUGGUGAUGUUGUUCUCAGUCAGGGGCAGAGCAGAUGGCAGUCCUUCAUCCAUCUUAGCUUGAUGCCUGGCUUGGUAGCCAAAGCUGGCUUCUGGCUAGGACUCAUAG